UAGUUCUGGAGAAGAGAAAAGCCAGUGGAGAUGAGGUAGGGUGGAACUCGAUCGUGAUGGCCUUCUGCGUCGCUGCUGGCAACCCCCAUACCAUGGAAGGCUGAUUCCUUCGUUAGGGCUGGAUGCAGCCCUAGCAAAAGAAUAAGAAUUUUGUAUUUUUUUCUAUUCUUGGGGUUGUAUGAACUUAUUAUUUUUUAAUGGAUAUCUUCUUUUAUCUCACGUUUAAUUUCUGUAAUUUUAAAUGUGGA
rnacentral:lncRNA from 1 species